GUUCUUCUGAUGAGACCCUUUGUCCCCUUGAGAUGGCUAUAGGUCCUCCUGACAGGAUCAUUGGUCCUCUUUAAGUUACUAUUGGUCCUCCUGAUGAGAUUCUUUUUCCUUGAUGAGACUGUUGAUUCUGGCAUGCUCAAUCAGUCAUGACCACAUGAUGUAUGGGAAGAAGUUUGUCUCAGACUUACUGCUCCUGAGGGCAAGGACCAAAUCUGAUACUUGUUGAAACCCUAUGCCUAGCACAUGGUAGGUGCCUGCGAUUUUUUCCCCAAAUAUUGGCUAAUUAUGAAAAGGCUGCAAUUAUCAAUUGACAAAAAUAAAUAUUUUGUUUUUAUUAGCAAUUUCUAGUUUAACUGCUUCAUGAUCAAAGAUGGUUGUUUGUGAUAGUUCUCCUUUUUGAAAUUUAUUGAUGUUUUCUUAUGACUAAGUAUAUGUUUAAUUUUUGCGAAUGUGCCACGUGCAGUUUAAAAGAAUACAUAUUCUCUAUAGUCAGAGUUUAGAAUGUGACAUAUAUUAAUAAAUUCUACCUUGUUGAUUAUAUUAUAUUGUUUAGAUCUUCUCUCUUCUUAUGUUUUGUCCACUUGAUCUGUCUCCUAUUGAGGGUGGAGUAUUAAACUUUCCUUUUCUCACUGUCUUUCUGUUUCUGUCUCCCUGUGUCUUUUGUAGUUUUUACUCCAUAAAGGUUAUUAUUUGGCAAUAAAAAUUCUUAAAUGUUAUGGUAUCAUUCUGCAUUACAGACUUUAACAUUAAGAAUGUCCUUUUUGGCUGGGAGCAGUGGCUCACACCUGUAAUCCCAGCACUUUGGGAGUCCAAGCCAGGUGGAUCACCUGAAGUCAGGAGUUCGAGGCCAGUGUGGCCAAUGCGGCGAAACCCCGUCUCUACUAAAAAUACAAAAAAUUAGCCAGGCGUGGUGGUGGGUGCCUAUAAUCCCAGCUACUCAGGAGGCUGAGGCAGGAGAAUUGCUUGAACCCAGGAGGGGGAGGUUCCAGUGAGCCAAGAUCAUGCCACUGCACUCCUGCCUGGGUGACAGAGUGGGACUCUGUCUUGGAAAGAAAAAAAAAGAAUGUCUUGUCAUAUCCCUGCUUUGGGGCUUGAAUUUCAUUUUACUGAUUCCAGGAUACCCUGCUUUCUGUUUUCAUUUUGUUAAUUUCCAUUCUUCCUGUUUUCAUUGGCCUUGUAUACCUUUCUCCCUCCUUUUAUAUUUAGCCUUUUGAAUCAGUUUGCAGUGUAACUCUUGUAUAUAAAAGCGUUGGGGUUUGUUCUCUGAGUGAAAUUGAAAAUCUUUUUUUUUAAAAAGCAGGUCAUGAGGCCGGGCGCUGUGGCUCACACCUGUAAUCCCAGCCCUCUGGGAGGCCGAGGCAGGUGGAUCACCAGAGGUCAGGGGUUCGAGACCAGCCUGGCCAACAUGGUGAAACCCCGUCUCUACUAAAAAUACAAAAAUUAGCCGGUCAUGAUGUGGCAUGCCUGUAAUCCCAGCUACUCGGGAGGCUGAGGCAGGAGAAUCACUUGAACCUGGGAGGCAGAGUUUGCAGUGAGCCAAGAUCACACCACGGCACUCCAGCCUGGGGGACAAGAGCGAAACUGCAUCUCAAAAAAAAAAAAGAAAAAGACAGUUUUCUUGGAUUAUACUUUUCAGUAGUACUUUUGUUCUAUUGAUUAUCUUUUUAUAGGGACUGAAGUAAUAUGAAUGGCAUUGCUUUUUUAUUUAUCUCUUAUUUCCAUUGCUUUGUUAUCCUUUUUGUUUUCCUAAUCUCAUUUUCAUUUUAUUUACUGUUUUCCUGCC
rnacentral:lncRNA from 10 species